CGGGGGAGCACCCCAACGGGUGGAGCUGACGAUUUAAUUUGGAUUCAACUCCGGAAAUCUUACCGGGACCGACAGCGAUAUGAAGGCCAGGCUGAAGACUUUGCCGGAUUAGCUGAGAGGUGGUGCAUAGCCGUCGUCAGUUCGUACUGUGAAGCAUCCUGUUAAGUCAGGCAACGAGCGAGACCCACGCCCACAGUUGCCAGCGUACUCUCUGGAGUGACGGGUACACUGUGGGGACCGCCGCUGCUAAAGCGGAGGAAGGAAUGGGCAACGGUAGGUCAGUAUGCCCCGAAUAUCCCGGGCUACACGCGAGCUACAAUGGUUGGUACAAUGGGUAUCUACCCCGAAAGGGGACGGGAAUCUCCUAAAACCAAUCUUAGUUCGGAUUGAGGGCUGCAACUCGCCCUCAUGAAGCUGGAAUCCGUAGUAAUCGCGUUUCAACAGAACGCGGUGAGUACGUCCCUACUCCUUGCACAUACCGCCCGUCAAACCACCCGAGUAGGGUCUGAAUGAGAGCGCUUUCUUUGGAGGCGUUCGAAUUUGGGCUUUGCAAGGGGGGUUAAGUCGUAACAAGGUAACCAAGGGCGAAU
rnacentral:rRNA from 1 species